rnacentral:lncRNA from 1 species
AACUGGAGCUCACCAAUAAUAGCUGUAUGACCUGUCUCCUAUUUAUGCUGUGAAUGAGCUGAAGCACCUGUGCCUGCAGCAUGAAAUGCAGGUCCCCCGUGAGGGACGUCAGUACGAAAUAUGUACUGAGUAUGUAAAGCUGUAAAUAAUCAUAUGUGGUAUGGGGGAUCAAGAAAAUCAGACGCAAGUGAAUAAAUCAUAAUAGAAGUGAACCACACUUCAUAAACACUUUUAGGAUCAUGUACAUUAUC